rnacentral:lncRNA from 1 species
UUUUUGAAGUGCUGUUUCUCUAAAUAUACAGCCAGUCACCAGCAAGCAACACUGUGAACUGCUGAAACAGCCGAAGAAUCAAAUAACUGCACAGGGCUCUCAAUUGGGGAGAGUGAUUCUAGGUUAAGCAAACAAAGGAGUGGUGCCUUUACCUCCUGGUGAACUGCAAGUUUGCAAUGGGCCAGGAUUUCAGGAUGGGCACUUCCCCCACUUACCAAGUGAAAUGCCCCCUGCAGGGCUUGUGAGCGAGGCUUUUCCCAGAGCGUGGGACAGGGUGGCUCCAUGUCUGCAUCUGCUCAUGCCUGCUCUCCCAACCAUUGUCCCAGGGCACAUCAGCAGACCUGCCCUGCAUCUUCUAGCCAGCCGUGCCCUAGCCAGCCAUGCCAGGAGGGACCCUGGCCUCAACAGGAGCAGGGACCAACGGGAGCUGGUGAUGACUGUGCCAUGUUCAGGAGGUCACAUGAGGCCAGCAGAGGAUGGAAGAGACCAGCAAAGAGUAAGAUGCUAUACUAAAGUGUACAAAAAUUCUGCUUAAUUGAAGAAACAAAGAUGCAUAAGAGAGAUCCCCUCUCUAAGGAACCUGAAGUCUAGAGGAGAAAACAGAUGGAUAACCCCCAGCCACACGGUCAGGAAAGAACUAAGCAGGAAGACCAUAGGCUUUAGAACUCCAGUCCUGUCUUGUCCACUUAGCAGCUGUGUACCUGGAGGAGCUUUUAUUCCUCAACAGUGUUGCAGAAAUCAAACAGACUCAGGUACGUAAAGCCCUAGAUUGGUAAACACACACAAAUGUCAGUCCUCCUGCUGAAUCACCUGUUGUCAACGGGGCACCUCCAGGAGUCCCACCUGAGACUUGGAGCCACUUCCUAGCACUUCCUUCUCAGAGAGGUUCCAGGUUUGAACACGAAUCUUAUUACCAAUGAGAAGCCUGUGGUGGAAAGGCAGGAGGAAAGCUCGUGGGCGGUCAUGUUGGCUCAUGCAGCAGUUUUGUGGAGCAUGUGGUUUAGCAAGCCUCACUGGGCACUCCCACUCUGGCAGGCAGGCACAGCAGCUUCUCAGACACCCCCAAGAGUUCCAGUCUUUCCAGUUCUGAGUUGUAGGUGACUGUUUCUCCCACCCUUUAACUGCAGCCUUCAGACCAUGACUCUCCCAGCCCCUCCCAUGUUUGGGUAAGCCUCAAUCCUUUAUGAAACCCUUUAUUUCUUUAAUACAUUUAGUGACUCUGUUCUUACCAACCAGGCUGAUAUAUUUUUCAUCCCAAAGACAUAAAUGAUGAGAAAUAAUGAGGCGUAUUUAGGGACUGGCUGAUAGUCUGACAUAGCUGCCAAACACCAACAUAUUUUGAGAAUAAAGUCAUAGCCAGGUAAUUCUGAGCAGACCUGCUCAGAGAACGGCAUGUGCAUGUAACUGUCUCUGUGUGAAGAACUCUUCGCAGGACUUAGGAUUGGAGACAGCAAAAGUCCUUGAUGCUGGACUCAAUACUGAGCACGCUCACAACUUUAUGUGCAAAAGUCUGUCAUGUACCAUUAUUUUGCUGUGAUACUACUCCUGGAUCUGCAGAUCAGCCGUAGCUCUGUUGGAUUCAGCUGAGCUUGGAUCCACGCUACAGGGCAAGUUUCGUUCUGCUCUGUGUAACUUACACAUUCUGUAACCUAUGAAGACGAAGCUACCUGGGGCAUCCUCUGCAGGAUAAGUAGGGUUCCGCUGCAAUAGUGCUGCAUAACAAAGAACAUAAUCUACCACGGACUCCUGGGAUCCCGUGUACAUCCAGCCUUUUUCUAUUAUAGAAACUGGACUUUAUUUUCAUCCCGCUUUCACUGUUUCUCAGUUCUCAAUGCAAAAGUUUUACAGGCAUGAUUAUUCAAUAAACAAAUAAAUAAAUAAUAAAGAUAAAGAACAGUGAUACCUUGUGCCCCUAAACUUGUGAUCUCUGGAAUGAGGUGUCCACAUUCCAGGGAAUAGGGCAGGUACUUCUUUG